UACGGAGGGGGCGAGCGUUAUUCGGAAUUAUUGGGCGUAAAGGGCGCGUAGGCGGCUUGACAAGUCAAAGGUGAAAUCCCUCGGCUCAACUGAGGAACUGCCUUUGAAACUGUCAGGCUUGAGGCCGGGAGGGGGUAGCGGAAUUCCCAGUGUAGCGGUGAAAUGCGUAGAUAUCGAGAGGAACACCUGCGGCGAAGGCGGGUUGC
rnacentral:rRNA from 1 species